CUCACCUCAUUCAUUUACCUUCUCUUAACGAUCACUUUUCUGCAUCGGACAGUGAUCUGUAAGAGAAAGUAAAUGAAUGAGGUGAG
ensembl:miRNA